CGUCCAGUGACGUCACGCCCGGACAGCCAAGUCGCGAGCGGCCGCGCGCCAGUUCUGUCAGGUCCGCCGGCCGGCGACGCGCUGCGCACGGAAACCGCCAGAGUUGCGGCCCACCGUCGUCCCCUCAGCGGGCCGGUGCCGGUGCCUGUGUCGGGGGCGGGCGCCAUGAGCCUGAAGCGGGAGGACGGGCGGGGCCCGACGGGCUGGCGGCUAGGCCUUCUCGGGUGAACCUCCCUCCCCGGGCCUGACGGACCAGGAAGCCGCGCUCUAGGGCGCGCGGACCGCAGAACUUGAGUCGCUGCGGGACGUGGCACUUCUACAAGAAAGCUUUGUGUUGAGAGCAGUUGGUAAAUACUCUAUAGCUCAGGCCAUAGUUGAUCAUGGACCACUGGAUGCACUGGUGAUAUGCUUGGAAGACUUUAAUCCCUGGAGUCAAAGAGGCUGAAGCCUGGGCACUUGGAUGUAUUUCAAAACAUGAUGCAGAUCAGUCACUCUGCAGGAAGCCUCAUCAUGAAUGGCUCAUGGAGAAGCCCACAUGAUGAGGGAUUGCAGAUUCCCCCUCAUGCUGCCAUGAAUGUGAUUGGAUCUUCAGACAGCACCAGCGUCAGCUGACACCUUGAUUGUAGCUGAGAAGUCCUGAGCCUGAACUACCCAGCUAGAUUCCUGGCUACUAUCAGAUUCCUCAUCUAUAGAAACUAUGGAACCAUAAGCAAUUGUUGUUUUAAACUUGUAAGUUGGGUAUGGUUUAUUACACAGCAGCAGAUACCUAGUAUAGUUAUAAGCAACUGAGUUAGGCUAAAACCUAAACAAAAUUUCUUUUGCUUUGCAUGUGCUGUUACUGCAAUCAUACUGAAGUAUGGUGAAUAAAUAACCAAUUUUUUCAGUUAUAGCAUCAUACUUUAUUUUUGUUAUAAUUUUAACUAAUCAUGAAAAUUUUGGUUUAAUGGGGUUACUGAUUAUUAUUACUAUAAGAUUAAUAUCAUAAGUUGUAACUAAUUUUCAAAUGUAUUGUUUAACUCUAUUUAAAAAGAGUAUGAGGUGAUGUAGUUAUGUUUUUAUGGCCAGAUAUAGAAACACCAUCUUUAGCUGGCCCAGUAGCCAGUGCCUCUAAUUCUAGCACUCUAUAAGGCUGAGGCAAAAGGAUUGGUAGUUGGAGCCCUGCCUGGGUGACUUAGUGAGAUCUUGUCUCAAAGUAAAAAAGGGCUGGGGAUGUAAGUCAGUGAGAAAACCCUGGGUUCAGUCCUCAGUAUGAAGUGGGGGAAUAUAGCACUGAAGGUAAUGUGGUUGUUCAAUGGUAGAAUGCUUCACCAGAGAAUGAUGCCCAGAAUUUAUCUUCAGGCGACAACAACUCACUUUUAUACUGAUAAAUAAGGCCACCUAUGUGCAAAAAAAAUUAACUUGUGACUUUCUUGUAUUUUUGAAACAGAUUAAAAUAUACUUUUAUAGGGCUGGCCUGGUGUGGUGGUGCAUACUUGUAAUACCAGCAUUUGGGAGGCUGAGGCAGGAUGAUGUCCUUGAGUUUGAGGCCAGCCUGGACUAGGUGUACCCCAGCUGUCAGUCUGCCUGUCAGAAGAACCAGAGGAUCAUUUUAAGGCUGCUGCUGCUUGGGUCUUAGGUUGGGCGAUACACUUCCAACAUGCAUGGGCUGUUACCGUCACAAAUACUUUGCUUGUUCUGCUUUCUUUGUAUAUGCCACAGAACAUUCUGAAGAUCUGCAAGUCAAUGUAAGGAUAGUUCUAUGAAGAUCUGUUAGACUUUGACACAUUUUAAAAAUGUGUAAUGUAAAAUAAUUAAAUUACAUGGACUGUAUUACUUCUGUGAGUCAAGAAACAAAUUUGUCAAGAGAAAUUAGAAUCACUUAUCCUUAACUCUAAAAACUAUAAUAUAUUUUAAAGAAAAUUCUUUAGGUAUAAAGUUGUUUGUAAAAUGAGUGUUUGAUUAUUGAGUUCAAUAUUCUUUUGUCAUACGGAAUAGGAACUCAAUAAUAGAAUAUUUUAGUUAGAACUUGUUGAGAUUGUUUCUUCAUUUUACAUGUAAAAAAUGAGUUAAGUGCUUUUCUAAGUAUAAUGUAAAACAGUUGGAGAAUAUUUCUGAAGCUAUAUAAUUUACCUCUCCUGACUCUACAGCUGACUGAUCUUUCAAUUAUAUGUCUUGUGUUUAUACCUUUAAUUGUUGUCCAUAAAAUCUACUGCUGAUCAGUUUAAAAUUGUACCUAUUUUAUUUUUAUUUUUGAGGCAAGGUCUCACUGUGUGGUACAGGCUGGACUUGACCAUCUUAUGUAGCCCAGGAGGGCUGAAACUCACAGCAAUCCUGCUGCCUUAGCCUCCCACGUCCUGGAAUACAGGUUUGUGCCACCAUGCCUGGCAUUAAAUUACGCAUAUUUUUAAAAGCCAAGUUUUAUGAAAAAUAUUAACAAAAUAACAUCAAAUAUUAAUAUAAAGUAGGAUGACUUGUUUAAUAAUCUUAUAACUUCACAGAAUGCAAAAAUGUUUCUCAGCAUGCUUUCUAUUAGGAAAGCGUGUAACUUUUUGAAAGCACCAUGCAAAAUUGACUUGAACUGUGGGAAGUUCACAGAAAAAAUAAAAAUAAAAUCAACACCAGAAAGUUAAAUUGCACUUAAGUUUUAGUUAAAUCAAUAAGUUAACAAACAGGAAAACACAUUUAUUGAAACAUAACUUUACAUGAUAUAAUGAAGCAGGAAAUUUCCUCAGUUUAGGAACAUUUUUAUUUAACUUGUAAAUUUUACAAAAUUCUGUUUACUUUGGGUGUGAUGGUGCAUGCAAGAGGAUCCCUGUGAGUUGCAAGGCCAGUCUGAAUUGCAUAGUGAAACCCUGCCUUGAAAAGAUGAAAAGAAAAAGUCAGUUUAUGUUUGUAUGGUUGUGUUUGCAUGUCAUUUCUCCACAAUUCACUGAGAGAAGUUGAUUUCCAAGACUAACACUCUUUCAGUUUAUAUAAAAUUUUUUCUAGGCACAUGUCUGUAAUCCUACCUACCUGAGAGGCUGAGGCAGAAAGAUGAUAAGUUCAAGUCCUGUAUGGGCAAUUUAGGAAGACUUUGGCCUCAAAAUAAAAACUAAGAAGCAGUGGGGAUAUAGCUUGACAGUAAGCACCCUUGGACUUAAUCACCAGUAUUAGAAAGAAAAAGGCUUUGUCAGUGCAGUGAGUAUAAUAGAUUUAGGGCUUCCCUCACAUGUCUCUAAGGUUAAGGCAACGGGACAGUGGUGGUAGUGCUUGGUAGAGAAGAAGAUGGGACAAUGUGUUCUCCAAGGUUUUUUUCUGGGUUUUGAUUUUUUGACCUUCUGGUGAGAAAACACAGCUCCAUUUCCUGUCCUAGUUUGUCCAGUUAUAUGUAUGUUUCACACAUAUACUUUAGCCUUUUGUAUGUCAUCUUUUGAUCUCAUAUUUCUUUAACCCAUUAUCAUUAUUGUCUUUUCUCCUUCUCUCCUCCCUCCUAACUUCCUACGCCUUCCUUCCCAGUCCUCUUCACUUUUCAUCCCCUUCCUCUUAUCUCCAGUGAACCAGUGGCUCUUGGCCACUUUUGCAGGCAGAAACUGACUAGAAUAUGAUAGUAACUAUAAUGAAUAACAGAGAUUAUCAUUAGUGUUUACCUAACCUUUAAGAUUACUGCAUUUAACAACUUUUACUUUGUUUUGAAAUUAAUAAUACCUGAGCUAAAGCACGAAUGAUUAAUAGUGGAGUCAAUAGUAAUUAUACUCAAGAAACCAUUGUAAAUAAUGCUCAGGUAACACUAAUUUUUAUAUACCACUAAGUUUAUGUAAUUUGAUUUUUAAAGAAUUAUGUUAUAUAGUACAAGUAUCACUAGUGUAAAAUGAAUUUGAAAACAUCACUGCUUAAAGUAACUUUUGCUGUGUAUUAGCUUAUCUUUAAUAGGUUAACUAAUACUAAAGUUUGUUAUACUAAUAUUUGGUAUAGUAUUCACUUUCAGGAAAUACAUUGGGUAUUAUAUUAGGAAGUAGAAUCUUUAUUAGUUAUAGUCUGUUGGCAGUAUUUCCAAAAAUUUAAAUCCAUUCAAAUGUUUUCUUAUUGUAGGGAGUUGAUCAUUCUUUUUUCUUCCACAAGGUAUCUUAGACUGUAUCAGUUGUUAGCUGUUAUUUUAGCCACGGCAGGAGGAUUGUUGCAAGGUCAAGGUCAGCCUGAUUACAAUGUUAAGGCCUUGUCUUAGACAUUUAAAAACGAAAUUUUUUAAUGGCUUUAAAAUAAAGUCAAUUCAAGUCUGUUUGACUUAACAGUAUCCCAGUAGGGAAAAGUGUAUGCAAGAACACAAAGAAAUGUAUAGUGGUAUUUCUCAUUUGUUACUGUGGGGGCAGAUUUCAAAUUAUAAGGCCAUGUAGAAGUUCAUUUUGUCCCCAAAGCAUGCCAGCUUCUGAUAAGCAUUCUCUAAUUAAUCCCAAUGAGGAGAACCAGUAAGCAUCCUCCUACAGUUUCUCCCAUGUUAUCAUAUAGCCUUUUGUUUCCCUGCUCUUAUGUUAAUACCUUAAUAAAAACAGAAACAAAAUUUUUUAUUAGUACGUUUGCAGCUCAUAAUCAUGAGGAAUUGAUACAUGUGUAUAACACAUCUUAAUUCUUUUUUACAUUUCCUUUCUCUCCUUUCCCUUACCCCUUCCUCCAUCUCUUGGUCUCCUUCCUUUUGCAAAAGUUUUCUCUGGUUCCUAUUAUCUUUUAUUUUGGUCUCUGAUUUAUUUAUACUUUGAGUUUCUCAUUUAAGGAAAACAAUGUUAUAUUUAAGCUGAUGUGUCUGAUUUAUUUAACAUACUGUCUGAAAUUUAUCUUCCUUCAUGGCAGAGUAGUAUUCCACUGUGAAUAAAUACCACAUUUUCUUUAUCCAUUCAUCUGUUGAUGGAUGUAUAGGCUGCUUCCAAGAUUUAGCUAUUAUAAGUUGUGCUGCUAUAAAAUGGGUAUGUAUAGAUGACUAUAAUAUGAUGUCUUUAACCCUUUUAGGAAGAUACCUAGAAAGUGAAUAGUUGGAUCAAAGAGAACUUCUAGUUUCAUUUUUUUGAAGACUCUCCAUACUCAUUGCCAUAGUGGUUGUACUAGUUUACAUUCCUAUCAACAAUGUAGAAGGUUCCUUAUGGUCAUGGUAGUUCUGGUUUCACUUUUUUGCAGCUUUAUUUAGAUAUAAUUCAUUUCCCAUACAAUCUACCCAUUUAAGAUACACAUUUCAGUGGUUUUUAGUGUCCUUACAGAAUUAUAAAGCCAUCACUACACACUAAUCUUAGAACAUUUUGAGGAAAUGUCAAACUGUUUUCCAGUGUAACUAUACGACUUUAUAUUCCUACUAAGAAAGUAGAGGGCUCUAGUUUUUGCAGUCCUUGCUAACUCAUUAGUAUCUUUAUUUUUUAUUAUCAUCAUCCUAAGUGCAUGUGAACUGAUAGCUCAUUGUGGUUUGGGAUUGCAUUUAGCUAAUGAUGAAAAAUCUUUUGAUACACUUACUAAUCAUUCAUGUGUUUUCUUUAGAGAAAUAUCUAUUCAGAUACUUUGCCCAUUUUAAAGUUGUAUUAUCUUUUUAUUGUUAAGUUUUAAUAGUUCUUUAUAAAUUCUAGAUACAGGUUCUUAUUAGCUGUAUAACGUAUUUUCUCCCAUUCUGUGUAUUGUCUUCAUACUUUAUUAAUGGUAUUAUUUGCCGCACAAGUUUUACAUUUUAAUGAAAUUCAGUUUGUUUAUUUUUUUUUUUUUUAUAUCGGUACCGGGGAUCGAACUCACGACUGCCUGCUUGCAAGGCAGGUGCUUAUGCUGCUGAGCUAAAUCCCCAGCCCCUUAAAUUUUAUCUUAUUAUUAUUUUUUUUCUUUUUUUCUUUUUUUCUUGGUACUGGGGAUCGAACUCAUGACCGCACACUUGCAAGGCAGAUGCUUAUGCCGCUGAGCUAAAUCCCCAGCCCCUCAAUUUGUUUAUUUUUGCUACAUGUACUUCUAGUGUCACAUCUAAGAAGGUUUUGUCUAUCAAAGGUUAUGAAGAUCACUCUUAUAUUUCCUAUUUAUUUUAAUCAUGAUAACUCUUUGGGCCAGAAUGCUUUCAGAACAAAAUUUACCUUGUAGAAAUUUUGAAUUUUUAGCAGUUUAAUAAAGAUCAUCUUUUAAGAGUGAUGAACUAUGAGUAAUUUUUGUUAUUUCUCUCAUUUCCUGGAAGAACAACUGAAGUGGUAUUAAGGGUUUGAUUUACACUUUAUUAAUAUUUGUUUUGUUAAUUGUUAUCCUUAUAUGAGUUGUUAAGUAAAAAAUAUGGUACUUAGUGUAUUACUUAGUGUGACUUUUACAGUAGUCCUCAUCAAACUGGAUAAAGAUAAUUUUAAGAAAUAAUAGAAAAAUGAACAAAUUUAAAACUGAAGAUGCUAUGCUGGUUCACAGGAAAAUCAAAUCCUGAGUCUGCCAUCGAGACUUCUCUGACAUCAUCAUACACUGUGUCUAAGGAUAAAUAUUAGUUACUAAAUACAGUAAUAAUUAGCAAAAUUGAUACUCUUUUUCAUUAAAGUUAGAUACAACUUGAUUUGAUAAGUUAGGUCAAUAAAAGGGCUGGUUGACCCAUACAAUUUUUAAACAAUAGUGUGAAGUUCUAAGAACUUUUUCAUUUUUCUCAUAGCCAUAAAUAAUCAAAUAUAAAGCAUGUCUUCCAAAAGCUAACAAAUCUUAAACCUAACAUACAACAUUAUCUUUAAAAAAAGAAACUUCUAUUAGUACCUGUUUGCAGUACAUAAUGAUUACAUUCACUGUAGGGAUUAGUACAUGUACAUAACACUUCAGUGUCCUAUUUUUUUGUACUGGGAAUCAAACUCAGGACCUUGCACUUAUCAGGCAGGCACUUAUGUUGCUGAGCUAUAAGCCUGGUUUCUUCCCCCUUCUUUUACUCCUCUUUUACUUUUCCAGCAUCAGAGUCAUUUAUUUAUCUUAUAAGAAUUUAUGAGGUUUAUCAUAUAUACAGAUUAUAGAAAGUCCUAAUGAACACACAUACACACAAACUGUAACCAACAAAGUAACAGGAUACAAGAUCAACAUACAAGGAGUCAACCAUAUUCUCAUGUAUUAGUAAUGCCUUCAAAUAUGAAAUUAAGAAGAUAAACCAGUUAACAUGGUACACAUCUGAAGGCCUAAGCUAUCAGGUGGCUGAGGCAUGAGAAUCAUUUGAGGCCAGAAGUUCAAGGUGAGCUUGGAUAAUAUAGAAAAUCUAUACCUCAAAAAAUAUAGUAGCUUUAAUAAUUCUUGUUAUUCCUUGUUGUGAAAUUUUGUUUUACCUUUUUUCCAUAAAAAGUAAAUCAAAAAAAUACAGUAACAUCAAAAAGAUUAAAAUACUUUGUAAUUAUUUAAUAAGUAUCAUACUUAUCCACAGAAAACUACAAAAGACUGCUAAAUAAAUGGAGAGAGGUUCAUGGAUUAGAAGAUUCAGUAUUGUUAAUAUGGCAGUAUUGUCAUGCCUUGGUACACAGCCACUUUGAAACUUAUUGAAUAUGGUGCUGGACAUAUUUUGGUAGGAAAAUCUCGCCUCUUGUUUGGUACUAGAAGUUCAAGCUAGUAUUUGUCAGUGUCAAUUGCCUUGUGACUCACUACCCUUUCUAGCCAAAUAAUUUGUUCAGUGCUUAUGGUACUUGUCAUGCCACCUGAAACCAAUUAAUGACAAGAACUAAGGUACCACUGAAGUCCAAAUUGAUCCAUACAUUCAAUGAAAUCACUAUUGAAGUCCCAGCUGUCCUUUUUUUCUUUCGGAAAUUGAGAAGCUGAUCCCCAAAAUUUAUUUGGAAAUGCAAAAGACCUAAACUAGCAAGACAGUGAAAAAAAGGAAGGGGUUAUACUGCCCAAUUUCAAAACAUAAUAGGGCUGGGGUGUUGCUCAGUGAGGGCUUAUUUAAUAUGUGUGAAGUCUUAGGUUCAAUCCCCACUACCACAGAGGCAGGGUAACACAAAGCCAAAGUACUCAAAAUAAUGUAGUACUAUAUGCCACAAAAUAGUGUGGUACAGAAAAGGAUACAUAUAAUGGAAUUGAACUGAGAAUCUUAAAUAGUCAAUUGAUUACACAGGUGCCAAGGAAAUUUAAUGUAGAAAGGAUAAACUUUUCCACAAAUGGUACUGUGGCAACUGUUAAAUCCUCAUUUAAAAGUAUUUAUUUGGACUCGUCUCAGACCGUACACCAGAAUUAACUCAAAAUGGAUCACAGAUCUAAAGAAUUGACACUAUAAACUUUGUCAUAAGACAAAGAAGUACAUCUCUUUGAUCUUAGAUUAGGCAAUGGUUUCUUAGAAUUACACCUAAAGCAUAAAUGAUAGAAAAAAUUGUUACUAGGUUUCUUCAGGAUUAAAAACUUUUGUGCUAUAAAAACCACCACCAGGGAAAUUUUAUGUCACCAUGAAAAGAAACAAAAAUGUCAACACAUGCUACAGCAUAUGUGGAAUUCAUCUUGUACUCUGUGAAAGAUUCUAAGCACAAAGUUGCAUAUUGUAUGAUAUAAUUUAUAUGAAUUGUCCAGAAAACCAAAUUCAUGAAAGUAGAUUAGUAAUAUCCUGGAGGUGAUGGGGUUAGGUGGGUAGGAGGAAUAGAGUGUGACUAAAAAUGGGCAUGAGGUUCUUUUGGGGAUGAGAAAAUGUUCUAAAAUUAAUUGUUGGGAUGGUUGCAUAAUCUAUAAAUUUAUAAGAUUAUUGGAUUGUGUAUUUAAAAUAAGUGAAUUUAUGAUAAGUAGAGUAAUGAAAUCAUAAAAACAUCUUAAACUCAGAUGUGUAAAGAAAAUCUUAAUUUUUUCCUUGAUGAAUAAUAUAGCUGAUUAUUAAUUAUAAUUUAUUUCCCUAUCCAUAAGAAAGUAGUCAUAAAUUCAGCUUAUUUGCUAUCAGUAAAACAUUUUUAAAAUUAUCUUCUAUAGCCUAUUUCUUGAUACAUUAAUUCUCAAACAUUGUUUCAGAAAUUAAAGAAUGUAAAAAAUGCAGUUCAACUCUUUACACUAGUGUAAAUUCUGUGUAUAACACACAUUCUGUCUGCCUGUUCUGAAGAAAAUAAUGAAACAUUUUUUGUUCUCUUGGAUACAUGGUGUGUAGGGGACAUAAUAGUAUGCCUCCUUGACAAAUGAACUAACUAAAACAAUGCAGGAAAUGUCUAGACUAUUGCAAAGAGAAAAUCCUUUUCUUCACUAAGAUGGAUAAGGCGUGGGGGACAAGUGGAUGACCGAGAGACAGACACACUGGCUCUUGAAAAUGUAUAGUUGAUAUUACUUUUGAAAGUUUCAUUUUGUAGUUUAGUGAGUAAUACUAGUUUUAAUGAAUUUGCUAUGAAAAUGAAAAUCUUAACGAAUUCAAAAUAAGUAAAAGGCAGUGGGUUUUGUGGAAGUCAGUCAUUGUUGAAUAAAGAUCAUAAUGCACAUUAUAUACUGUUUAAUAUGCCUUCAAGAUUAUUUGAAGAAUUUUCUAUUUUCUUAAAGCAUUCUUAAGGAGGUAACACUCAAGCCCAGCUGAACAUAGAGUAGGCAUUAGCUUGUUAAAAGAGAAAGGUUAUGGCCUAUGCAAAGGCAUCCUACGGAUAGGAGAUAGCAUGGGCAGAGGCAAGAAGUGGCACAACACACAUACUUUGAUGAUAGUAAAAUGAAAUUUAGGAUGGAGCUUGAUGGAAGAAGCCUGGAGGGGUAUUUAGGAGCUGGUGCAAAGGACCCUAUAUUAAGGAGCUUGCCCUUAAUUUUGUAGUGUGUGAACAGGCUCCAGUGGGUGUAAAUUUUGUACUUUACAUUUUAAAUGGAUCUCCUUUGCUUUGCUUUUGUUCACUACCUUUGGUCCAGCUCCAUAACAUAAAAAGUUAAUAUUCUUCUACAAAGAAUGUAUUUCAUCUUCAGUCAUCAGCAGAUUUAGACUUAUUAUGUUAUGGGCUUUUCAGGCAUAAAUGUUUGUAUUUUCUCAAAUUACUGCUUUUAAAUAGCCAUAAUCUAACUUGGAAAAGAAAAUCUGACAUUUUUAUUGGUUCACUUUUCACUUGCCAUAUGGUAACAAAGUACAUCAGUUUUUUUUGUUGUUGUUGUUCUGGGAAUCAAACUCAGGACCUUGUGCUUGCUAGGUAGAUGCUAUGCCAUUGAGUUAUAUCCUCAGGCCAGCACAAUGACUUUCUAACAAGUUGGUGGACUUAGAAAAGUUCAACAGGUACAAACAGAAACUGGUUCUGUCCUUCAAGAAUACAUCAGAAGUAUUAACAACUGAUACCCAGAGAGUAGUAAGGUUAGGAAAAUGCAAUCUGAAAAGUUCAAUAGUAUAAUAUACUUUUUGAGUUUUCAAAUAUAGAUUUCAUAUACACUACAUCAUAAUGUAAACUUUGAAAUACUGUACUCUGUGAGUCCAGUGUGUAGUUUUACUUCUCGCUUGAUCUCUUUUCCUUGUAAAUUAAAUUAUGUUCUGGUAAACACACAUUUUCAAAUCAAUCUUGAAUACAUAUUAUUUAAGACAUUUUUGUACUAAUGUAUGUUUUACUAAAAUAGUUCAGAGUUUUGCACUAAUAUAUGCUUUUACUAAAAUACAGAGCUCAAAAUCACAACUUUUAACUUAGAAGAGGCUGAUACACUAUAUGUUCUAGUUUUUCAUAGUUCCUGCAUAAGUUCAUAUUCACAUUAAUGACAGUAUUAUAAGUAGAAAAGAGGUGUUGGAUAAUGAAAGUGACUAUCUAAAUGUAAAACUUUAUGUAGUGUUUUUUAUGAUAUGCAGAUAAUCUUUGAGUAAUACAGCAAGAAGCAUUUUUUUUUUUUGAGACAGGCUUUUUGUAGUGUAGACUGGCCUUGCACUCACUGUGUAGCCCAGGUUGGCCUCAUACUCACAGUGAUCCUCCUGCCUCAGCCUCUUGAGUGCUGGGAUUAAAGGCAUGUGUCAUCACAUCUGGCAAAAGGAAGCUGUUACUUUUUUGCAGUGCUCUACCACUGAGCUAAACUCCCAGCUCAGAUCACUAGUUUUCAAAACAUUAAUAUUAAGCCAAACCUAAGACUUAGUCCUUGUAAACCUAGAGAACUAUACUAUUAAGCACCGCCAAAAACAAAUUUAUCAAGAGAAAAUUAAAAUACAAAGUACUGCAUCUUGAAAAGCACUUUAUAAAGUAUGCAGAAUAAAAGGCAUAUUUACUUAUAAGUUCCAGCUAAAAUUUAUAUGUUACAUAUGAAUUACAACUUUGUUUAUACUUCUAUAUCAGAGGUUUUUAAGACAUAAGAGUUUUAAAGGCACAGACACUGAUUUUAAAAGCAUAAAACUAAUUUUAAGAAUAAAACAGUUUGAGGGGAUGGAGCUUUAGCUCAGUGGCAUAAAUGCCCACCUGGAAGCAUGAGGUCAUCAGUUCAAUCUCCAGUACCAAAAAAAUAAAAAAAGUUUGGGAGCUGGGGAUAUACUUCAGUGGCAAAGUGCCUGCCUGGCAAACGCAAGGUCAUGAGUUUGAUCUCCGGUACCAAAAACAAAAGAAAGCAAAUCAAAAUAAAAAAAUAAAAGUUUCUGGCCCAGUGUGGUGACACAUGCCUGUAUCUCAGCACUUGAGAGGCUGAGGCAGGAGGAUCACUGCAAGUUUGAGGCCAGCCUGGGCUACAAAAUGAGUUCAAUCUGAAUUCCAUGUGAAACUUGUGUCAAAAAGGCAAAAUAAAAGUGGUUUCUGUUUACAUAUAUUCAGCCAAUAAAUUCUAGUUAAGUACUUUGGUAGGUUUAUGAGAAUAUCUUGGCCAAAAGUUCCACUAAUCCAGUUUUGAAAAUAUUAAUAUAAAUAUUGAUACAUCAAAACAUAUAUAACUAUUAUGUAUAAAAUAUACAAAUAUAGAUCACAUGUUAUGUAAUAUGUGAAACCAUAAGUAAAAGAAUUAUGAAAAUUUUUAUCAAUAAAAUAAAAUUUUAUGUAUGGAAUAUUCAGGAAGAACCUAUUCAGGAAGAACAAUGUUUUAUAAAGGUUGAAAAAUAACUUCCACCUUAAUUUUCUUUCUUUUUUUUUUUUUUAUUGGUACCUGGGAUGGAACUCACAAUCGCCUGCUUGCAAGGCAGGUUCUCAUGCCGCUGAGCUAAAUCCCCAGCCCCUCUGUCUUAAUUUUCUAAAAAAACAAAAGAAAAUGGGUGGAGGGGAACCUUAAAUGAGGAAAGUUAAAGGGCCUCAACAUGGAACAACUUAAUAGACUGGAAUACAGUACAUUUUUGAUACAUUCUUGAGUAAACAUUUUCUUUUUACUUUUUUUCAGCAUAUUUUAACUGCAGCAGGAUGAAUUAAAAACUUUUUCACAGAAUUUAAUACGGUGCUUUGUAAAAUACCAUUUAGAAAUUUUAACUACUUGCACUCUGUGACUUGGGGUUUCAUUUUAAAAACUGAUUAAUACUUAUGAGGAAUUUUGGUUGGCUGAUUUUUUAAAAGCAGUAGUUUCUAUAAUAGGCAGAUAUAAUUUUAGAUGCAUUUAUUUAUGCAGUUAUGUGUUUCUUAAUCACUUGGCAACAGCUACAUUAGAACUUCGUUUUGUAAGACAGAUGAUUAGUGGAUACGUAUUCUUACCUGUUUUUAUCUUAAGUACUUAUUUUAUAUUGCUUCUAAUUUGAGUAAUCAUUUAAAAUUUUAUAACGAAAGUAUAAGAGGGGAGGAAUCUGGACUAGGCCUUAGAUUUGUGUUCCAGGCCUGACCCACUCCAUACCCCUAAGGUGUUUCCGAAUGCCUUUGUCUUCUGGUUCUCUGCCCUCCCUGGGGACAGGAAGCAGCUUUUGGAACCAUCUAAUUUGAAGAAGACCUGCACACAGUCUCAUUCAGUACAUUUCUGGUAACAUAAUAAUAAGAUGAAUCUGCAUGGGUCUCCAUAAGCUAAAUUCAUUUACAUUCUUGAAGGGCUGUCAGAGAUAAGUUAGGAUAGCAGUGUCUGAAAGCCAGAGGGAAAGAGUUUCUUGUUCUUGGAUGUUCAUUUGGUUCUUUGAUGAGGACUAUGGCUAAAAGCUUAGGUUUAAAUGUCAAAAGACCCAUCUUAGACUCAACUAUUAAUGUUAUUGUCUUUGACGUAGUGUUUAAUCCUUUAAGUUACAAGUUAUGUGCCUGUAAUACCUGUUUCAUGAAGUUUAUAAUUAAAUGAAAUAUGCUUAGGCAAAGGGUUUAUUCAUAGGAAGAAUUCUCUCCAAUAAAUUUUUAUUUUUAAUUUUUAUUAGUAUGUGUUUUAAACAUUGUGUAAUGUGUUCAGUACGCUGGGAUUACAUUUAUUAUGGGGAAUUGGUACGUGUACAUUAUGCAUUUUAAUUCAUUUUUUAUUUCCUUCCCUCUUUCAUCAUUUUCCCAUUUGCAAAAAUAAGUUCUUAUUGUCCUCUUUUGUGACCCACAGUCUCAUCUUUCUUUUUCUAUUUAAGCAUUAUUAGGUAAGUAAAACUUCAUUUUAUACUAAUGCUGGAGAAGCUAUGUAGUAACUUGGCCAGUUAUUAUUUUUCAUUAUUUGUUUUGAUGAUAACAUUUGCAAACAUAAAAGAUUAAAUAAGAUUAUUCUGGUUAGAUUUAAAUUGCCCCUAGUAAGAUAGAGCACUGUUACUAGGGAGGAUUCCACGUUUUCCUCAUGAGGCUACUUUUGAAUUUCUUAGCAUCAGGUAGACUCUAGUUGAAAUGGGGCUGUCUGACAAUUAAUGGACUAUCUGACGUAUUACUUAUCAUCUGCAUUCUGAAAUACAUAUGUUAAUAUGUACUUAUGGGAAGUUAGGUAGUGCUAAGUGUAUAUUCUGCCCAUGAGGCUCAGGGAGGUAAGUGCCAGGCACAUUCCUUGUAGGAAUCCUACAGACCAUAAAGUCUCUGAGGUUGCAGGGGGAAGAGGUGUGGCAUUGGCAGUUAGCUUGGAAAUGAAGCAGGUAAAGACUCAAUAAUUAUUGGUAGAUCCUAACUGAUUAAUUGGGGACCAUUAUUUUAAAGCAACAAUGUCAAAUGGAAAUACAUGAGUCAUGUGGUUUCACAUUGUCUCGUAGGCAUGCUUUAAAAAGUAAAAUGAAAAAUAAAUUUUAAUGACUUAAAAUCCAAUAUAUCCAAAUAUAAUUUCAACUUGUAAUCAAUGUGAAAUUUAUUAAUACAUUAAUUUGCAUUUUUAUGAUAUUGAUUCCAGCAUAUCUUAAUUUGGAUGCUAAAUUUCACUGGAUGUAUGUGACCUGUAUUUAAAUUACAUAAAAUUUAUAGCUGAAAAAGUAGACUUGUAAGUUAUUUCAAACACAUCAAAUGUUUUUCAGUAACUGAAUUUGGUUAGGUUUUAAAAUUUUAAUUAACUAUAUAAAAUUCAAUUUCUCAAACACACCAUAUGUUUAGUCUCAAUCACAGGUACUUAACACAGCUUUAAAAGAUUUUUUUUAAGAAAAAAAUCUACCUGUUGUAUUUAAGUAAACUAUACCUACUUUGUGUCUGACACAUUUUUAAGGCCUAGAAAGGAGAGGAAAGCUUUAAAAUCUAAUUCAGACUGAGGGAAAUAUAGUCGUGAAUUCAUCAGUAGAAAAAUACUUUGAAGAAACUCCCUCUUGAAAGACAAUCUUUUAAAGGGUGGCAGGCCUUUUGAGGACUAGUCUUACAAGUAGCUUUUUAUGUACACAUGUAUGUUCUUAACCAUGACUGUAUAUUAAGCAUACUAUUGAGAAAAUACAGCUUUGUUAUGCCCAACUUCAUAAAUUGUGAACAAAAUUAGUAUAAUACAAAUCAUGGGUUUUCAAGUCAAGCAACUAAGCAUAGAUAAAAAUAGCUAACAAAGGACAAAGUAGGUCCCCCAUACUAGGUUUUAUCUAGAGGAGAGACCUAUUUUGAGGCUUUUGGAAUUUUUUUUUUUUUUUUUUUUUGAAAGUACUAAAAAAUACAACAGAACAAGACAGAACAAAGCCAAUCGAGACAAUGCAGUGAAAUUGGUACAGAACUUCACAGUAGGAUACUGGGAUGUUAGUAAUAGGUAUCAUAGUAUAUCUCGUUAUCUUCACAAUAGUUGUCCAAUCAAUUAGGUAUAACAAAAUCAAACCAAAAACAGAACAUUAUAAAACCAAUUGAAACAGAGUAUUGAAUAGAGCAAAACAAACAUAACAAAACAGUGAAAACAACCUUUGCCUUCAAACAGAAGAUGGAAGGAAGCCCCCCAUAUUUGCUAUAUUGUAUAUAGUCAUCCUCUCAAGACAUGGUCAGACCUCUGUCCUCAGUUGCUAACUGGGGUUGGUGGGGGGUUGGAGUUGGGAUGUUUGAUUUCCAGCCUGCUAGCUUGUAGGCUCACAGGAGCCAAGCUGCUGACUGGGUCUCCACCUGGCUUGCGCCAGAGGGAGGCGCUUACCAAAGGGCAGGUGAAUUGCCACCUUCUGCAGCUGCCUAGGUUCCACCAUGGCUGGUUCUCAGCAGCUGCUGACUGGAUCUCCUUUUGGAAAUUUUAAAAUUUCACUUUCUUAAGUUUUGAAAUUUUUGUCUUUUUUCUUUUUUAUCGGUACCAGGGAUCGAACUCACAACCACACACUUGCAAGGCAGGCACUUACGCUGCUGAGCUAAAUACCCAGCCCCAAGUUUUGAAAUACAUUUCUAUAUUCUAGAAUACCUGAUAAAUUGUAUUUGACAGAUCUUUUUAUGCAUGCAAGUUAUUUCUAUGGCAUAUCAAACAUUCCACAAUGCAUUUUUAAUCAGUGUAUUUAAUACUUUUAUACUAAAUGUUUAAUAAAUAUUUCAUUUAUAAGUAUAAAUUUCUAGUAAUAUGUGUACAGGUAACAAGAAAAAUGAUUAAUUUCCUAGGUUUAUUUAAUACUAAUAUUUGCAAGACAUUUAUUAAAUAGUUUAAUGCAAAUUUUUGUUUUUAUAGAUGACAGAAUCUGAUUAAAACAUAGACUAAGAAAUUAUUUUUAAGGCAAGCAGAAUGCAGAAGUUGAUUAGUAAUGAUAAACUGUGUGGUCUGCUUUGGAAAAAUCUAUUGGGUAUGAUCUUUAAAGCAAAAUUAGUCACUUGAUAUAAUAAAAAUAAAAUCUCUAACAAAA